rnacentral:rRNA from 1 species
GUGGGGAAUCUUGCGCAAUGGGCGAAAGCCUGACGCAGCCAUGCCGCGUGGAUGAUGAAGGUCUUAGGAUUGUAAAAUCCUUUCACCGGUGAAGAUAAUGACUGUAGCCGGAGAAGAAGCCCCGGCUAACUUCGUGCCAGCAGCCGCGGUAAUACGAAGGGGGCUAGCGUUGCUCGGAUUUACUGGGCGUAAAGGGCGCGUAGGCGGACAUUUAAGUCAGGGGUGAAAUCCCGGGGCUCAACCUCGGAACUGCCUUUGAUACUGGGUGUCUUGAGUAUGAGAGAGGUGUGUGGAACUCCGAGUGUAGAGGUGAAAUUCGUAGAUAUUCGGAAGAACACCAGUGACGAAGGCGACACACUGGCUCAUUACUGACGCUGAGGCGCGAAAGCGUGGGGAGCAAACAGGAUUAGAAACCCCUGUAGUCC